CUUUUGAAGAGCUCGCGUCUGAUUAGCUAGUUGGUGAGGUAAGAGCUCACCAAGGCAGCGAUCAGUAGCUGGUCUGAGAGGAUGACCAGCCACACUGGGACUGAGACACGGCCCAGACUCCUACGGGAGGCAGCAGUGGGGAAUUGUCGCAAUGGGCGAAAGCCUGACGGAGCAAGACCGCGUGAGGGAAGAAGGCUCUUGGGUUGUAAACCUCUUUUAUCAGGGAAGAAAAAAAUGACGGUACCAGAAGAAUCA
rnacentral:rRNA from 1 species